GACGUUCGAGCCAGGACUCAUGGCCGAACCGGACACUUUGAGAGAACUAAGACUGCAGCGCAGUCUGUAGCCCUGGUUACAGAAACGGCUGCAGUGAAACCAAAGGCAGCCCUGUCGUACGCGGGGGCUGCCGCAAGAGGGAGUCUACCAAGUAGACCAAAGGUAGACUCCAACAAGGGACUGGUAAGAAGACCUUGCUGCAUCAAGGCAACCCUUGUAGGAAAGGCUCCCUUCUCAAUGGAGAAAGUAUGGGAUUUAUUAAAUGUGCAGGAGAUGGUGAAAAAGCAGCAAGUUUCUUUAUCAGAAUGGCCCACUUACAAAUGUAAAAUAUUAUGCGAAGCAGGUAAAUAUUGUUUUUUAGGGCUAGAACAAAAACAAAACAGAAUUAUUGAUUGUUAAAAUAGGACUCAUUUUCAGGCACUUAAAGCGCUGUGCCAAGAGGGCAUACACAUCGAAAGAUGUAACAACUUCCGAAUCGGAAAUUGAACCUUUGCCACGGCUGCAACGAGAAGAUGCUGUAUGUUUGUUAUCCCCAGAAUCCGAUAAAAGUAUAAGGUUUGUAACAUGGGCAUUUAACAUGGGUAUGCAGGGUAGGCUUGCAUGCCCUGAAAUGGGUUAUGAUAUACCCUUUUUUACUAAUUUUGGUACACAUAUUAACAAGUCAGUUGGUGAUAUUGGACCAACUAAAAGUAAUUAUAAAAUGGAAUAUGGUAAAAAGAUCGCCCUGGUUUCCCGAAAGGUAGGUGGUUAAUGCCUAUAUGGGGUUUGUAUUUUGUUUUCUUAACGCUUUAAUUAAAAAUAAUAUAAUAAAUCCAUCAAUUUUGUUUGCAGAUCUAUUGAAUCACAAAAUGAAUUUGCUGCUCCACUGAUCAUACCAUUAAAGAGAAAAAGAGCAACCAGCCUACUCUAUCUUCUUCUCCUGGAUCACCAAGCAAUACCACAACAGAUAAUCUUUCGAGAAGAAACUUAACUAUAUCCCAAAAUAUUCAGAGGGAUGUGGUCAGAAAUACCACUGAUCUUGUCAAGAUGAGAGCUGAUGUGGCACAACUCAGGACUGGUCAGGACCAAAGACCAGCUCAGGGCUUCUGUAGCCCAACUCACGAUCAACAUUUGCCAUAUAAGACGAUUGUUGGUCCAGCAUGUAGAGGAAUUCAGGGCGGCAGUGAAAGUUCCUGCACAAUUUGCACCGGUGGAAACUGACACUGAACUCAACGAAAUGACGAAGAACUUUAAGAGUUUUUAACAAGUAGCUCGCCAAGUAAACCGAAGAGGAACCGUCCGAGCAUUCAUCAGACUUUUUAUGAAGAAAUCGCUCGAUCUACAAUAUUCCUGGUCAGGAUUGGGCACUGGGCGAAAACCAACAAAAAAAGCUUCAAGGAUCACAAGCUGUUUACCAUUUUACAAGGUAAACUAUGACUGUUUUGUUGAUUUACAGUAUAUAAACCAUAUUGUUGGUGCAUGUGAUUGUGGCAAGAAACAAAUAUUUUAUAAGCUGUUAUACUUUUAUCUUCUGUCUUAUUCUUUUAUAGGGGUACUGCCAUUCACAAGUGAUAAUGACAUCAAUACAUCAGUCAUCGGAGGAGAGGUAACACGUUUUCUACAAGGUGUGGUAGAUUGGGAUGGCGGCCGAGAUGAAGGGAGCAUCUAGCAGCCAAAUAAUUAUUCACAUGUCAUAUGUACCCCUAUGCAGUGUACCUUCUUUGUUCUCUCACCUUUUCGCUCGUGCGCUCUCUUCCACAGAGUAACAGCGAAGGUUAACACAGUAGGAUCUGAAGGGCGUAUCACUGCGCUCCAAGAUCCUUUAAGGAGGAGGGUCAGCCUCCUUCUUAGAAACCGGAACCUCAGCUCUAGGCCGGGGAACCGGACCCACAGUGAUCCACGUUUUUUGUCACCCCCAAAAUACCAUAACCAACAACUAACCGAGCCUCGUGCUCUCCUUUUUCUCCCCAUAUUUAAACAUCAUUCUGAUAACAUUUAAUUCCAACUACGGUUGGCUUUUCGCGAAAUUGUAUUCCUGGACUUACAAUUCGGACCUUAUCUCUCCACUUAAACCAUACCGUGUUUUUUAAAAAAAUCGCACGGAAUACAUGGAGUUGUUUGGGGAAGGUGGCCCCUUGGAAGCCGUCUCGAACGACGUUGAGAGGGUCAUCACUGAAUCGUUUAAAGAUGUCGCUUUCUUACUAACACUAAAAGCGGAAAGCGCACAUAAAAUUGAGAAAAUUUUGCAACAUUUCACCAACACGCAAGUAAAAUUUGUCAGUGCUUCUGGUAA